rnacentral:lncRNA from 10 species
UGAUCUGUGAUCCUCCCUCCAUUAAAGUACAUUGAGCUUGGCCAUGUUUGCUGACCAUGAACAGAUGCAGGUGGUGCCCCGAGAGAUAAUGACGCAGGAUAAAUAUAUCACUUCCACUGCCUGUGGGAGGUGCUUAAUAUUUUACAAGCAUAUUUGAAUAUUCAGAGGCAUUUCUUUUCUCCCUGUGCAGGUGACAAAAUGUGCUGUGAAUCACUUGCAGUUUUAAAAAAGCAGUUAUUCAGUUAAAGGGUUACCUCUGGAGUUUCAGGUUCGUGUCAUUAGCUGGCCAACUGGGACUUAGUCUCUUUUUGGGUAAUGUGGACUUUGAGUAUGUGUGUAAGUAUUUUCAGACAGAAUUGCAUUUUAGCCUGGUUUAUUUACUCUUUUCAAAUAUUUCUACAAUUGAAAGGGUGACUGUCGUCUCUGCGUUGGUUUAAUGGCUAACCGGAUGAAGGAAGGCUGUGGAACAAGCCUCUGUUUGGUAACUCUGUCUGAAUCCUGUCAUUUAGAGAGCUUGUAAAGAUCUUAGCAAUCACCUGAUCCAGACUUCUCAUGUUACGGAUGAAGAAAGAGGUCAAGAAAGGUGCAGAGACUUGCUUGUAUGGCUCCUAAGUGGCAGAGCCGUGGCUAGAACCCAAGACUCAGAGCCCUGGCUUUCAAGACUACUUCGAGACACCUGCGAAGACAAGAUCUUGCUCUGACACCCAGGCUGUAGUGCAGUGGUGUGAUCUCAGCUCAUUGCAACCUCUGCCUCCCAGGCUCAAGUGACCUUCCUACCUCAGCCUCCCGAGUAGACGGAACUACAGGCAUGCACCACCAUGCCCAGGUAAGUUUUCUAUUUUUAGUAUAGAUGGUGUUUAACCAUGUUGCCCAGGUUGGUCUCAAACUCCUGGGCUCAAGCAAUCUGACCACCUUG